CAGCCGUAAACAAUGUGCGUUAGGUGUGUCGGUAACCACGCGUUACUGAUGCGCCGAAGAGAAAUCGUGAAACGCACCACCUGGGAAGUACGGUCGCAAGGCUGAAACUUAAAGGAAUUGGCGGGGGAGCACCACAACAGGUGGAGCCUGCGGUUUAAUUGGAUUCAACGCCGGACAUCUCACCGGAUAAGACAGCUGAAUGAUUGUCAGGUUGAUGACCUUGCUUGACAAGCUGAGAGGAGGUGCAUGGCGUAGUCGUGU
rnacentral:rRNA from 1 species